GCGGGGUUAGUUUAAUGGUAGAACAUCAGUUUUCCAAACUGAUGGCAAGGGUUCGAUUCCCUUACCCCGCA
rnacentral:tRNA from 1 species